rnacentral:tRNA from 1 species
GCCUUCGUGGUGUAAUUGGAAGCAUAUUCAAUGCGUAUUCGAGAGGUCCAGGAUUCGAAUCCUGGCGAGGGCA